UGGUCCCUACGGGGGGCAGCAGUGAGGAAUAUUGGUCAAUGGUCGGGAGACUGAACCAGCCAAGCCGCGUGAGGGAUGAAGGUACAGAGUAUCGUAAACCUCUUUUGUCAGGGAACAAAGGCGGGGACGUGUCCCCGGAUGAGUGUACCUGAAGAAAAAGCAUCGGCUAACUCCGUGCCAGCAGCCGCGGUAAUACGGAGGAUGCGAGCGUUAUCCGGAUUUAUUGGGGUUAAAGGGUGCGCAGGCGGUCCGUUAAGGCAGCGGUCAAAGCCCGGGGGUCAACCCCGGGCACCCGGUGAAACUGG
rnacentral:rRNA from 1 species